UACGGAGGGUGCGAGCGUUGUCCGGAAUCAUUGGGCGUAAAGGGCGCGUAGGUGGCCCGGUCAGUUCGUGGUGAAAGCGCGGGGCUCAACCCCUGCGUCGGCCAUGAAUACUGCCGCGGCUGGAGCACUGUAGAGGCAGGCGGAAUUCCGGGUGUAGCGGUGGAAUGCGUAGAGAUCCGGAAGAACACCGGUGGCGAAGGCGGCCUGCUGGGCAGUUGCUGGACACUGAGGCGCGACAGCGUGGGGA
rnacentral:rRNA from 1 species